rnacentral:tRNA from 1 species
GGUCCGUUGGAGAAGCGGCUUAACUCAACGCCCUCUCAAGGCGUCAUUCAAGGGUUCGAAUCCCUUACGGAUCACCA